rnacentral:rRNA from 1 species
UACGAAGGGGGCUAGCGUUGCUCGGAAUCACUGGGCGUAAAGGGUGCGUAGGCGGGUCUUAAGUCAGGGGUGAAAUCCUGGAGCUCAACUCCAGAACUGCCUUUGAUACUGAGGAUCUUGAGUUCGGGAGAGGUGAGUGGAACUGCGAGUGUAGAGGUGAAAUUCGUAGAUAUUCGCAAGAACACCAGUGGCGAAGGCGGCUCACUGGCCCGAUACUGACGCUGAGGCACGAAAGCGUGGGGAGCACACAGG